GCUGUGGUCAGAUCAAGAUGUAGAACUCUCAACUCCUCUAGCACCAUGCCUGCCUGGACGCGGCCAUGCUCCCGUCUUGAUGAUAAUGGGACUCUAAUCUCCGUCUUGAUGAUAAUGGGACUCUAAUCUAAACCUCUGAACCUGUAAGCUAAGCCCAAGUAAAUGCCACGUCCUUUUUUAAGAGUUGCCUUGAUCAUGGUGCCUCUUGACAGUAAUGAAGCCCUAAGACAGAAGAAUUGGUUGAGCCCCAGAUUCCACAGUGGCAGAAGUAACCUUGAACCCAGCUUCCCUAGCCUUGCAGCCAAUCUACCUGUCCAUGCCCUGGGUCAGGUGAGGUACGACAACCACACUGGGAAAUGACAAACGUCCUGGAAGAGUUCUCGUCUUAACACAACACCCGACGCCAAAGAAAGGCUUUUACAGACCCCGCCCCCAACUUCUGGAACACAAGUUUGCGCACACACCCUUCACUCCACCUGGCCAGGCCUUCCUAGGGCACAAUCUCAGGAGGUGCAGGGUCAGUGGGGGUGGGGGUAAUACAGGGUUCUCCCCAAGAACUCUGACAGCUCUUGGAAUGAAGCUUUGUGACCCAUGCAUAGAGUAUCUAUGGCAACGAGACUCCCACAGCAGAUGGAAGCAUUCUGGACCUUUUGACGGAAAAGCCAGGAUGGGGAUGGUGAAUUCUCAUAGCAUGGAGUAGUGGACAGUGGGGGUAGCGGUGUCUGGGGUUGAGAAGACCGUGGAGAGAUACACAGAAGUGUCUCCAGCUUCCAGAACAUUCUAUAUCACUAGAGGUGCUCAGGCAAUGUGUCCAUCGAAUCUGGACUUCAGCCACCCUAUGGUACCCUUUACACCAUUCAUCUACCUAAAAGAUCUGUGUGUGUUCUUGGGAAUUUGACAUCAAAAACCACUUCUAAUCCAGAGUUUAUGGUGGAGAGAGGGACCCUACAGGCAGCUCAUGGUUCCUACUCUGCUGGUUCUCUAGCAGCACCCGCGUGUCCUCCAGGUCCCAAGUGAGGUGGUGACACUUCCUCUUCAGCUGCUCUGUCCGGGCCUUCAUCUCUGAGUCCAAUCUCUCCUCGCACUGUUGAAGGCGCUUGCGUAGGAAAUCGUUCUCCAUCUGAGCACAGUCCAAACGCAUCUGCCACUCGUCUGCUGUGUGACAGAGUCGGCAGCUGCCUCCAUUCAGCAGGAGAGAAUCCACAUCAUAGUGGGAACUGGACAAAGAUGUCCCGAUCCCAUCCAACCAUGAAUGCCAAGUCCCUAGGCAGUGGCAUAACCAGUGCACUGAUGCUGCCUGCCUCUCACUGGGCAGUCACUCUGAGAGUCAGCCUCAACUUGAUCAUGUAUGUGAAAGCAUGCAGAGCCCGUAUUCCUCAUGAAGAGGUAGCUGAUGGCUAUGGGUUAGUCUACUCCAUAUGGCCCAGCUCUGCUUGUUCAUCAUCUAGGACCAGCUACACUUGAAUGUGAAGAAUCUGGGGCUCAGGGUGACUUUGAAUAGCAUGGUAUGAUUCAAAUACAGAGGGGAAAUUUAAAAACCUGGACUCCACUGUCAUCUUCAUCAAAUAGAAGAGAAUGUAACACAGAGA
rnacentral:lncRNA from 1 species